GAUACUUGACCCAUGAACGCUGCAGUUUCCUCCAUAGCAGUCAUAUCGGAGAGGCCGGUGUCGUUUGGUUUAUGUGAUUACGGCAAAGCCUCGAGUGCUAUCUGCCUGCCUUCGUGGAUGACUUUAUAAAGAAACUGGUUUAUAUAUACGUUACACAUGGGAAAAACCACUAAAACGUCCAGGCAGCUAGCCCUUUUACGGUAUUCGAACCUUGAACCGAAGUACCAGUGUUCAGUGACUUUACCGCUCGGCCUCAGGAAAGGUUGUACUUGGAAAAAUCUGGUGUGAUCAACAAAAGAAUCUAAAGAAAUUUUUAGAAACAUGAAAGAUGAAGCUUACUUAUUUUUUCUGGAUAACAGUGAAGGCGAUUAUUACGAGAUAGUAGAGGAAGGAGCUCAAUUGUAUAGUAACUGCAAACUGAAACAAGCGCGUUUGCAUGAAGUCUAUACAUUGAACACAGAUUCUUUACGGCAUGAAACGGAAUAUUUAUAUCAUACCUUUGAAAAGCUAUGUAAGACUCACACAGUUGUAUCUAGCGGAACUUGGAAGAAGGUGAAACUAACUGGAGAUGCUCCGAGCUGUGCAAAACAUCCACUAUCAAAAGUUCGUAUAUCAAGUACUAGUAAAAUUGAAGACAUUUUGAAGAAACAGGACCAGAAGUUGAUAGAAGCUCAUGAGUUAGAAAUCCAGGAUUUGAUAAAUAGUUUCAACAAUAUUGAAAACAGAGAUUUUGAUUUUAAAUUUUUUAACUGAUUUAAGAGUCACGAAACUCAUCUGUACUUUUCAGCGAUUUAAUGUCACUAAGCUGAAUAUCAUAUUCUUGUAAAUAUUGAAAACCAUAGAGAAUAAAAUUUCCUGUAAUUCUGUAAAAAAAAA
rnacentral:misc_RNA from 1 species